rnacentral:rRNA from 1 species
UACCAGCACCCCGAGUGGUCGGGACGAUUAUUGGGCCUAAAGCAUCCGUAGCCGGUUCUGCAAGUCCCCCGUUAAAUCCAGCUGCUCAACAGAUGGGCCGCGGAGGAUACUACAGCGCUAGGAGGCGGGAGAGGCAAGCGGUACUCAGUGGGUAGGGGUAAAAUCCACUGAUCCAUUGAAGACCACCAGUGGCGAAGGCGGCUUGCCAGAACGCGCUCGACGGUGAGGGAUGAAAGCUGGGGGAGCAAACCGG